AAGUGCAUCAAGGCUUUGGUCCAUGUGUUCUGACAAAACAUCUCGAGUGCCAGCAAACAACAACUCCCUUUGCUUGGGCACUUCAGAAACCGGAAAAGCACAAGGAUGAACAUCAAAACUUUUGUUGGCGUCAUUUCGCUAUUUGGAGCGAUUGCUAAAAGACUUUCAGCAACAUGGGAGAGUGCUCCUCCAGGCGACGACCACCCCUGACAAUAACGGCCCUGGCCCUGGCACAAGCUGUGAACCUCAGCGGAGAAGAUACGGAAGCUGAAUUAGCCAGCCAAUUAGCAAUCCUCCAAAUCCAAAUGGUUGCGCAAAGUGCAGCAGCAGGAGCAGCAACAGAAGCUGCGUAAAUACCGAGUGACGCUGUCCAAGCUGCAAGACAAGCCUCCCUGACGGCGGCGGCCGCGUGCCUCGCCGCCUCUGCGGCGGGCGUCACCUGGGAAGUCACUGGAGCUGAUCUCAAAGUUGUCAUCAUCACCACUUUGGAAAGGGCGAAGGAGGCAAAUCUUGCCGCCGGGAUGGUUGUCAAUGGAGGCACAGAGCCGCAGAAGGCUAGAGAUGCCGCGGCCAGAGUCGCAGACGCAGCAAAUGUGAUGGCUAAAGCGGUGCGAAAUGCUUUGGAUAUCAUCGAUGGCAACGCGGCGGAGGUGUCGCUGAAGGCGGCGGAGCUGACCAGCGAAGUAGCAAAUGGAUCCGUUGAAUUUAAAAUCAACUGUUCCCAGAAAGAGGAAGCGAGCAACAAUAAACUGGAUUUUAAAAUAAAGUCGCGUCGAGACGAGGAAAUUUGCUCCCCUUUAGGCUUCAAGUCAUUUGUUUGGAAGCACUAUGGAUUCCAAAGAAAAGAUAGCUCAACGGACAAGACACGUGCAGUUUGUAAAUCCUGCCACGCGGUGAUCAAAUAUUCAGGGAGCACAAAUCUCGCCGCACAUUUAAAGAAAAAACACGACAUCAAAGUUCAGUGUUAAAGUAAGCAAUUUGUAUACUACAAUACUCUUGUAAUUUCCUAAAUAAAGAGUUUGCAGUACCUUGUUGAU